UAAUACGGAGGGUGCGAGCGUUGUCCGGAAUCACUGGGCGUAAAGGGCGCGUAGGCGGCGCGGAAAGUCAACGGUGAAAGCUUGGGGCUCAACCCCGAGUCGGCCGUCGAUACUUCUGGGCUAGAGCACUGUAGAGGCAGGUGGAAUUCCGGGUGUAGCGGUGGAAUGCGUAGAGAUCCGGAA
rnacentral:rRNA from 1 species